rnacentral:rRNA from 1 species
UACGAAGGGGGCUAGCGUUGCUCGGAAUUACUGGGCGUAAAGCGCACGUAGGCGGGUUGUUAAGUCGGGGGUGAAAUCCUGGAGCUCAACUCCAGAACUGCCUUCGAAACUGACGAUCUUGAGUUCGGGAGAGGUGAGUGGAACUGCGAGUGUAGAGGUGAAAUUCGUAGAUAUUCGGAAGAACACCAGUGGCGAAGGCGGCUCACUGGACUGGUAUUGACGCUGAGGUGCGAAAGCGUGGGGAGCAAACAGG